AUUUUGAAACCAUCCUGACAAUCUGUCCUAGGUUUUUACAGUUUAAGAAUCUUAUUUAUAUCUUAUGGUUUUUUGCUCUCAAAUUAGAAUUUUAUCUUCCCACCCCUUCUUUCUUACUGAAGCAUUUUGAGGCAUAUAUGGGAAGCUGAGUGGAAAAAAGUCCUACACAGGACCUUCCCUUACUCUAAAAAUGUUCCAUACAAUUAGUGCAACAUUAUAUUGCAGUCUGAGCGCAAUCUGCCCUUAUUUGCAUGGGUGUAACUCCUGUUGUAUGCUUGUGUAACUUGUAAAUUAGGUCCUAUGUACAUGUUACUAUCAGGGAGCAGUUUUGGUCUAGUGGAUUGAACAGGGGGAUGAAAGACAGCUGACAUGGCUUUAUUCAUGAUUCCCACUGAUUUGCUGUGUGACCUUAGACUCUUUGCCUCACUGUCCUCAGCUGUGAAAUGGGGAUAAUGAAACCCACCAGGGGGAAGUGCUUUGAGAUGUGUGGAUAAAGCACAUUAGCAAAGUGCAAAUUGUUGUUCAUGGAAUCAUAGAAAUGUAGGGAUGGAAAGGACCACAAGAGGUCAUAUAAUCCUUCCCACCUCCCCCAUGCUGAGGUAGGACCAAGUGUACCUGUUGUUAUUAGUAAUUACUUUUUUCUUUUAUGUAUCUUCUGCAGAAUUUGGUUUGUGAUGCUUCUAUCUAAAGGUUUUUUAAAUUAAUCCUUUUAUUAAGACUCUCUUAAAGAGUCUUAGGUCAUAACAUCCCUUAUAGAAAAGCCCUAUAGAAUUUAAUAGAGAACAAUAUGCUUCUAAUUUUUUUAACAAUACGAUCAUAUAGAAUAGUUCAAAAAACCUAUAGAGAGGCUAUUGGUCCCUAUUAAGUUGUCUGAAUCUUACACAUAAUUUUGCAGACCCCUAUUAGUUUCAUCUCUACGAAGUUCUUUAGAACUUUUCCAUAAGGAAUACAUAUACACAAACAAACAACUUAUCCCUAUGAGGUUUAUAAGUACCUCUGCAGUGAUGCAGAAAUGAUACUGCUGUGUAAUGCUGUACCUUACUAGUCAUCUCAAUUGACUUAAAAUAGAACAUUGCUUAAUAAAAUCACUGCUGCAGAAAUCCUGACAGGAGAAGAAAAUGCCAUUUACAUCAAUAGACAGUUUUUGCAGCAAAGCAAAAAGCCAGAGGGAAUGGGAAAACCUAUGCUUCAAACCAUUCAAAUCCUUUCUAAUGGAGUGGAAUUGUUUUUCUAUGAGAUUUUUUGUUGCCUCUUUAAAAUUGCACUAUCGGAUCUUGCUAAUUCCAAUAUCAUUACUUGCAAUUGUUUUAAAAACAAUAGUUUGGGUAAGGAUUGGCUCAAUAUGUCUCCAAUGUCAGCAUGCCAGGCUCCUGCUGCAGAGAUAAUGCAGACAUAAUGUAACCAAAUUAUCCUCCAGCAACUCCUCCCAACAUUUUGUUGCAAGGGUAGAAGGAAAACUGCCAAGAGCUGUACUUUAUCCAGCCAAUUUACUCUCUCUCCCCCUCAUUUUGAAAUGCAACAAAACCAAUGUCUCUGCCAGCUGGUUAGUGAAUUUUGCACCACCACCACCAAAACAAAAACAAAAGAACCACGUUAUCAAAAGUACCAAAAUAUCAGACACUCCAAAUACAGUCAAGGUAGGCUGCCUCCAAGAUGGCAGAACUUUGUUACUAAUGCCAUUCAGCCGAUCAACCUAUGGAAGCCAUACUUUGGGGAGGGACUGGGGAAUUACCUCUUUGCCACGUGGAUUUAUAUGUCUUGAUGCUUUUCAUGUGUAUGUUUGAAAUAUAUAAUAUAAUAGUCUAGGCUGAAUUAAAAUUGUCUUCCCACAGGGCCGCCCUUCUCGAUGGGUCCUACUUUCAUUCAACUUUGAGGAGAGAAUAUCAAAACAGCUCCCUUGCCUCGAUCAGACAGAUCCACCUUUUACUGUUUGCUAUUUUGCUUCUGAGGAGUGAAGAAGAAAAUGGGAGAGAACACAGCUGAUUCCUUCAUCCUGAACUGAUACGAAAGCCCCAGUCCUGCAAUUGGAUCAGCAUGGGGAGACCCUUGAAGACAAGGUGCUCCAAUUGGGGCCAGUACUCUGCCUGCAUGGAUCUGAGUAGAAGAUACUAGUUCCAGUAUAACCAUGUUGCUCAGCUGUACUUAUUGCAAAGCUCUUGUGCUGCUGUCACUGCCAGACGCUGUGAUCCCUCGGAGGAGCAGGGUGUGGAUUCACAGAACACACAGCAGGAGUUAAAGCUGCUUCAGGUUGCGUGAGCUUUACACAUUUUUCUGUCCAUUAUGCCAUUGUCAUAGGGAGCAAGAGGAGGGGGGUAACCUCCUAUUUGUCUCAGCAACUCACCCCUUCCUGGCCUGGCCCAAUCCAUUAUUUCUGCACAAGGGAAAUGCAUGUAUUCAAAGGGGUGGGGGAGUGAGCAUCUCACCAAAUAAUUCAAGUCCCACAGCAAAGCUCCAUGUGGCUGUACCCAGUGGAUUUGCUCCUGUGCACACACUGUACAGUGUAGGGAGUGUAGAGGCCAAAGGAAGUAAUAGAAAGUGAAACAAAUCUCUUCUUCCCCAAAUGGGCAAUUGGAAGGCUUGUCUAUUUCCUUCAAUGGGGACCAAUAACUUGAUCUGCUUUGUCCCUUUCAUAUCUGCUGUUUGGAACAAUAAAGUGUCUAUUCAGGCACAAACAUCUGCCUUAGUUUGCAUCCCCUUGAUAAUGCAGAAGAUAUGGUUAAAUGCCACUCAUCGAUCUGUAUUGAUUGGUUCUUACAGCAUUUUAGAAACCACUGGAAUAAUACUUGUCAUUACUCUCCAUGGCGUAUCUCAUCUGAUAAUUCUUUCUUUUUCUUUAAGUGAAAGAACAUUGCAUUUGUAUAUGCUUUGUUGGGCUAUAAUUUCCAGGUGUUUUACAGACCAUUUCGCCCCAAAAACUCUUUGUAGCUUUUCAAGUCAUGCUUGUUAAAGAUAGUGCAUGUUAUAUGAAACUAAAACUUGAAAGGGAUAUGCAUUGUGAUACUAAAAAGAUACAUUGUAAAUCUAGCAUUUUUAUUUAACUAGUGUAUCUGUUUUACCAUGUAAAAUAUUGUUUAGUUUUGACUCUACACACAGCCCAAAAUCUGGGCAUCCAAAGAUUUUGUUUUACAAAAAAUAAACAUUUGUGUCCAUUUCAGACUCAAGUACAAUGGCUGUAAAGACAGCAAGAACC